rnacentral:rRNA from 1 species
GAGAUUGGGAGAGGGAUGCGGAAUUCCAGGUGUAGCGGUGAAAUGCGUAGAUAUCUGGAGGAACACCGGUGGCGAAGGCGGCAUCCUGGACCAAUUACUGACGCUGAGUGAGCGAAAGCCAGGGGAGCAAACGGGAUUAGAUACCCCGGUAGUCCUGGCCCUAAACGAUGAAUGCUUGGUGUGGCGGGUAUCGAUCCCUGCCGUGCCGAAGCUAACGCAUUAAGCAUUCCGCCUGGGGAGUACGGUCGCAAGGCUGAAACUCAAAUGAAUUGACGG